rnacentral:miRNA from 1 species
UGCUGCGAAGUGUUCGACCUCC